AAAAAAAUCCUAUUUUCUUUGAACACAAAACCCAGAGAGGAAAACCUCGACAGAGACCACCACCCAGAUCUUCCAUUCUUAUCGUCCGUAUAGCUACCGUUGGCUGCAUUGCUGUUUUCUAUCUUGCAUCUUCUUUCUUUUCCACGGAGGAGUUCUGUUAUUCCAUCACUGGAACAAGUAUACAGAGCAAAAAUGCUAAGAGAUUCUGAGAAAGUAUGUGUAUUGGGGCAAUAGAAUUGACUGUCCUAUCCUGGGAAGUACCGUGAGUCUUGUGAAGGCCUUGGCCACCUGGAGUCCAGCCUCAGGUAUUAAUCAUGGUAAGCAUUCAAGUUCAUGGAGUGCAAGGAUCAGAAUAACCGUAGUGCUAUUCUCGUCAUAUUCUUUUCUUCCUUCAAUGGCUGGCAAGAAGUUGAAGAUUGCAGCAGAAAAGGGUUCACGAUUAAGGUGCUUCUUGGUGAUUGUGAUGCUAUCCAUCACAGACGAGGUGAUAAAUUGAAAACACAUAAGGAUAGGUUCAGCAUUGAUCGGUCUUUUUUAUCCUUAUCUUGAUAGGGAUACCGGUCCAGAAUUUAUUUCCUGAAGAAUUGCAAAACAGGUCCCACUAGGAUGAACUUUUUUUAUUGCUUCAAAUGAGAGGACGCCGGCUUUCUUUGCCCCUCUUGCUUCAAGAUGGAAAGAAUACCGAGAUGUGGCAGAUACCUGUUUAUAUCGUGUUGUCAUGUUGUGGACCAACUGGAGGGAAUGGUGCAUCUCCUGUUGAAUUCGUGAUUCUUGCUGCUCUUUGCACAAAUUAUGGGUUACUCCUAUGAAAUUCUUCCAUUGCAGGUGAGCUCAGUGUUGUAUAUUGUGGGUUGACAUUUUCUUUUAAACUACAUGUAACUUUCUAAAUGUAGCAUGAGUGAGCUUUAGCUUUUGACAUCUCCGAAGAACGUUUUUG